rnacentral:rRNA from 1 species
GUAGGUGGCAAGCGUUAUCCGGAUUUAUUGGGCGUAAAGCGAGCGCAGGCGGUUUGUCGCGUCUGCCGUGAAAGUCCGGGGCUCAACUCCGGAUCUGCGGUGGGUACGGGCAGACUAGAGUGAUGUAGGGGAGACUGGAAUUCCUGGUGUAGCGGUGAAAUGCGCAGAUAUCAGGAGGAACACCGAUGGCGAAGGCAGGUCUCUGGGCAUUAACUGACGCUGAGGAGCGAAAGCAUGGGGAGCGAACAGGAUUAGAUACCCUGGUAGUCCAUGCCGUAAACGUUGGGCACUAGGUGUGGGGGACAUUCCACGUUUUCCGCGCCGUAGCUAACGCAUUAAGUGCCCCGCCUGGGGAGUACGGCCGCAAGGCUA